AUCUAUCACUCGUCCACCGCGGUUCCUGUGCGCCGUCCAUUCCCGCCUGACGACUCCUCGCUACGUUGUGUCAGCU
rnacentral:sRNA from 17 species